UCACCAAGCUUUAGCCAUCAAGGUGUGGCGCAUGCAGGAGGAGAAGCUUCUCAUAUGGGCAGCUUAGUUCUCUUCAUCAUAUCCCAAUAGAUGGAAUAAUCAUGGCAAAGCAGUUGUGCAACUUUUAAAUAUAUAAAUGAGUGGUAAGGCUGCCAGUGACCUCCAUUCUUGCAUCUGUAAAUUGCAUUUUUGGUGAUGCUACGUCGAAAGAAUCCUACCAGUGAGAAAGUAUUGGGAAAGAUGAGAAUAAGAAUAAGGAAAAACCAUACAAUUUAUCAGUCAGAGUGUGUGUAAGUAAAGCUGUGAACAUUAUAAGCAGAUGAUCCAAAGAAGAUGGAGGAACAACACUGAGACUGGCAUUUGACACCAAAAUGUUUGUUUUUAACAUACUUUUAACACAUUUUAAACAACGCUUUUACAAGGUAUUAUCUGUUUUUAUGUAAUAAAUUUGAAGAUCUUAAAGGAGUACUUGGGAGUCACCUUAAAUAUGUGUAUUGUGUCGCCAGCUUAUCAAUUUUUACAAUGCCAAUUGAAGAGUUGAAUGCUAAUUUGCAAACACCACUUCUGCAAGGUAUUAUAGCCACACUAUGAUGGUUAUGAAAUGCCAUUUUACAAACAAGGCAACUGAGAGAAUUAAGAGACAUACAUAAGAAAUAUGCACACAUCCGCUUUUUAAAUUUUUAACUAGCACCCAACACAAUAGUAAUUUCAUUAAUGAGCGGAAGAAGAAGGGUUAUUGUCCAGCCCCCUGCCCAAUAUUUCAGAUUAUGUGUAUUCUUCAGAAGCAUUCAUAUCUCUUCUCAUUGUGAAGAUAAAAAUUAUCCACAAAUAGUCUUAAAAUACAGUGGCUGACAUGAUGCACAUUCUUAUGAGGGUGGAGCAAAACCUUGGGGACAUAUUCCUGGCAAUGAAAAGGGCUUUUUCAGGGAGGGAGGGAAGCAAAAACUGCUCCGCACCCCCCUUCUGAUGUGCUAUGCUUGCAAGGCAAACCUUGCCUGCACCUAGUUUUUUAGGCUACUUGCGAGGACAGAGCUGUUGCUCUGCCCCUCAUAAGGCUGCAUAUAAUGUCAGCCAUUGCUUGAAUAUAUCUGUUGAAUAAAUAUCAAACAUAUUCAAAAAUAUGUUUGAAUAUAUCAAACAUACACUGCUUGAAUAAUUUUGAAUAUAUCCAGCAGCAGGUCUUUGAACUUUGCUGUGAAAUUUGUAGAUGUUGUGUCACUUGAGGAAAUCCUGCUUCCUCCUGCAAUUUGAAAUGGCACCUUUGUAUGGUCCUUAUGAUCCUUGAAUGUCUUUCAUGUAUGGUCCAGAUAAUUAGCCAGCUUGUUGGACUAAGGGCAUGAUUCUUGCUUUGGGUGCAAGAGUGUAGAAUUAUGCUAGCUUUGUGAUAGUAGUGAUGCAUAAAGUACUUGGCUAACUUGCAAGUUAUAAAAUGUAGAAACAAGAAACAAUAUAUUAAUGUUCAAUAUUGAAAUAACUGGCUGAACCGCAAGCUCUUAAUAAUCUAGAGAUAAGAAACAAUGUAUCAAUUUGUAAUAGCUCACUUCUGUAACCCAAUGAGCCAUGUGAUCUUGACAAAUUGAAUGCUUAGGUAGUGCUUACGAACGGUAUGUAUGAAGGAACACAUGAGUGAGCAGCAUCAAGUGUGCCCCUAGCCCCCACUCCCUCUCUGACACAGACAAUGUUUGGAAAGACGCCAAGGGCCUGAAGAAUCGGUGAAACCCAGGGAGGACUGCCGAGAUAUUGUAAAGGAGAAAGAACUGGAAAAGACAGGAUGGGUACAUCUUGUGAUCACAGAGAUGAAAGUGGACUGCAAAUGUAUCAACCAGAGUGGAAACUUCCCUUUAUAAGUCAGGCAGGAAACCAGAAGACCCCUGAGAAGCAUCACCACCCCGAGUGAGGCCUCCACGCUUCUUCCAAUACCCCUUUCAAAGACUGAUCACCUUUGGAGUGGGGCUAGGUGAGUGUGUGUGUGUGUGCAUGUGUGUGUGUGUGAAUUAGAAGCUAGCUUGCUGUUUGACUGACUAUAAUAAACAUGUAUCAUUGAUUGACUAAAA